GGGCUUGUGGUCUAGGGGUAUGAUGCUCGCUUCGCAUGUUCAAUUCUGUUGACCUGUAGAGUGCGAGAGGUCCCGGGUUCAAUUCCCGGCGAGUCCA
rnacentral:tRNA from 1 species